AGCCACAGCCAUAUCAUCCUGCAGCCCAAGACUGGUUGCCCACUGAAGCUAAGCAGGGUUGAGCCUGGUCAGUACCUGGAUGGGAGACCUCCUGGGAAAACUAGGUUGCUGAGUGUU
rnacentral:rRNA from 1 species